CACUGCCUUCUGUUCUUACCGCUACAUUCAGCUGUGAUUAAUCCUCUCCAUAGUUUAUCAGGCUCUCCAUGUAUCCUAAAGACUCUCAGUGCAACCAGUUGGGCACAUAUCGCAUGGAAGGAUGUGUAAUCAACUCCUUAAUGUGUUACGUUUGGAAUCUAAACAGCCAUGGAGAUGUCCCAGUGAUCUGGCUCCGUCAGACUGACGGCUGUGCAUAAGAAUGCGACCAAAUGACUGUAGGAAACAUCAGUGAGUUAGUAUGUUUGCACUAAACCGGCUCAUUUUCUUACUCAACAUCUAAAGAAUAUUUGGAAGGAUGGAGAGCAAUAAUAGAGAUUUGUAAAUAUCAAUUUAUUUUUAAAUAGUCACAAUUAUGUUUCCAAUUAAAAUGAUAUAACUUUCUGUUUUAAAGAGGGGAACCUUUUAAAAAUGGCUUUGGCCCAUUAUUUGGUUUCCUUUUAGUAAAUUUCAAGGAAUUACAGCAAAAUAGCAAGAGCUAACAAAUAUGACUGUCAUGAAUUUCUCUGAAAAUAUCACGACAUUUUUUUACAAAAAAAUUCAUUACUAUUGUGUAUUGACAUUGACCUUACUCCUAUUCAAUGAAAGUAAUUUUUUACCUAAUACUGAGUUACAUUCCACUUCAGAUUUCCUAUUUCAAAGGGCAUCUCAAAUUUCUAAGAUGUUAAACCAAGUAUCGAGCCAUUUUUGUAUAUGUAAUAAAAGUCUUUAAAAUUAAAAUGGUAAUCCUAAAAAAACCAAAUGCAUGAAAAAUAUGGUCUGACUGUAUAACAAAAGGGAGUUAUAUAAUUCUACUUGAGUGAAAUCUUUCAUCUUUGAUUUACAGGUUCGAGUCCUCUUUAACUAAAACCAUAUUGUUCCAUAUCUUUCAUAUCAUGGCCUUCCCUAAAACCUUGUUUUAAUUAAGGUUUCUUUCAGAUUUCUGAAUAAAAGCAUGACAAUCUUCACUUAUGGCUUUAAUAUAUCCUUUGAGUUAGGAAAAUAUAUAAAAAGAAACAUCAACUCUUUCAAAAGCAUUGUCAGAUAUUAAAUACUGCGAGGUAUUCUAUAUCAAUGCCUUUAUGUGUUCGAGUUAUACAUUGAAAUGGAUUUUUGGAUGGUAGGGGGAUGACCUACUUAUAUUUAGUAAGCUACUUUUAAUCUCAGAAAUAAAUGUCUGUUACUUUUAGCCUUUGAUGCUAAGGCAACAUGUGUAAAGGUUAAGUUUGCAGUUUUGUUUUUUUCACAUAAAGGCACAACUUCAAGGUUAACUCGAUUCAAGGUGACUUCAAAUAGGUAAUGCCUUCAUUAAUGCAUUUCAAAGAUCUAGAAAAUUCAGUAGCAUUGCUCAAGCCAUAUUCACCUCAAUGAUUUCACAGCUAUGAGAACUCAUUAGACCAAGCAACUGUGUUAACCUGAAAAGUAAAAAAAAUAAGUAAAUACUCAAAGCUCCUGAGAAAUUGGGAGAUUGUAGGUAAUCUUUAGCUUUUCUAUAGGAAGGAUGGAUGAAAGGUAAGAAGAAAAGAAGUGAUAGAGGGCAGAAAAGAAAAGUGAGAGAAUAUGUUCUUGAUAGAUUUGGAACAAAUUAAGACCAUCUUUGAAAAGUUUUCAAAGACACUGGAAAUCCUCCAUGAAACAUAUGCUCCGAGCUACUGUCAUCAGAGCAAGGGAUGGGAGCGGGGAGGGAGAUCUCAUCCUCAAUUUCAGUUGCAAAUCUCCUUUGUGUGUGAGAACACAGAGAGGGAUGUUAGGGAAACAGGGUAAUUUUUUUUCCAAAAAAGUGACAUAAAAUAUUGCACCAUUAUAUACAGUGUUUGAGGUUUGUUUGGCAUGUGGACUUUGAGAUAUAGCUUGGUUUGUUCUGCUGAAAAAGCCUCGGCCCAGUUCCUCCAUCUUCAACUCUUAACUAGCAAGAGUCGAACCAUGUGUUAAAACAAAGGCCAAAAAACAAACAAAACAAAACAAAACAAAAUCCCUGCACUCUGUCGGGAAUUGCUAUCUGUUCAUAGUUGAAAGCAAAUCCUGUAAACAAUUUGAGACUGUUUGACAAAAAUUACCCAAUAAAAAACUGAUCAGAAUGUCAGGAAUGAGUAUUUCUUAGGUUUUGCCCAAAAUUUUACUGGCUGUCAUAGCAUUUGUAAUCAACAGUAUCUAAUGCUGUACUGGAUGUUUCUAGUUCCUACUCCGGACCUGGGAGUGGGUCACCCAGCAUAUAUUAAAUGCACGCUGGAAGCAGUUUCUUCCAAUCGUGGUUUACUGUAACUUUAGAAUCACAGCGGUUACAUUUAAGGAAUCUUUAAUGCCCUUUCAAGUCCGUCCAAAGAACAAGUGAAGCUGCUGUUCAGAAUUUUGUGCCCAGUGUUUAUGUUCCAUCGAAUCCGUGCCACCCAGGCAGCAGACAAGACAUGUCUGUGGGUGCUGGGGUGGGGGGGGGAUACACAAUGAUGUCACACACAGGAAAUAUGGGGGGGCAAGGGGGACUUGGCACUUCACAAGGCUGGCUCCUCUUCCAUAGGCUCACCAGCGAUUCUGUAAAAAUAAACAGGCAAUCAGAAUACGGCAUAAGAGUACACAAUGACAUUGUAGAUUUUCAUGCAUAAUCAAAGCUGAUUUUUCAGCUCUCUCUAAUGUUUAUUUGUGUUGUUCAGUUAUCCAUAAAUAGAGUUUCUUUCCUAGGAAGUAUAAACAAAUGUCAAGUGGAAAAACAUUUUAGAUCCAAGCAAUCAUUGGAAAUGUUCCUGUUUAUAUUAAAACAUGUCAGAAUAUUUUAUAACUCUAGAUUCCAAAAUGUACAUGUUUUGUGUCUAGUUCAGUCUGAUAAUUUAUUGAAAAAAUUAACUACGAUAUUUUAUUUUAGGAGCAAUUGCAGUGAUUUCCUAUGGAACCGGUUUGCUAACUAGAGCAAAGGACCCAGCUAGCUUCUGGAGGAAACUCACCAGGGCUCUGGUUUUUGCUUCUGUUCUUUCAUAACUGGAUUGGCCGCCUGCCGGAGGCAUUUCAAAUCAAAUUCUGAAUUUGAUUAGCAAAUCGCUGCUACAGACCCAACGUUUUUACAAGAAAUGCACUAUGGUAGUGUGUGUAAAUAGUUUUUAUUCGGCAUCAUCUGUGGGGUGUUCUGCUCGGGUAAAACCAAAACUAAUUGCUUGAAAAUUUAUACUUGAGAUUUAACCUUAAUUUAGUAACACUCUGAGGGUGUUUUAAGGCAAACUUUUAGAAUGAUUUUUUAAUUUAGCCAAAAGGACAAAUUGUAGCAGGAAUCCACAUACACGAGGUGGCUGGACUGUCGAGGGAACAAUACUGGAAUUUUAGAUGCCUGGAGAAUUGCCUUUGAGUCUGAGCUCUGCAAUUUGCUAAUGCUGCAACUUUUUAACGUAACUCACUUCUGUGAAGCUGCGGUUUCAGGUUUAAGACCAUGAGAAAAAAAGAUGUUCCUUACCGAAUUAGUGCAGGUUAAAAAAAAUAAAGGAGGUAAAAUUAACCCGUAAACAACAAACACUGAGACAUUAGUUAUUUAAUACUUUGGAUCUGUCUUUUCAUCAUCUAACAUAUGCAUAAAAUUGUGCUGAAUCGCAUACAGAUACAGAGCCAUGACUAUACUACCAUAGGAAAUACCAUACCGACAUGGAGGAUGGCUUUCUCUGGAUGGUGGAAUGACAGCUUGAAGAACGUUCAGCAUUUUGUAUAAGGCAGAGAAAGUCUUCAUCUCACCUUCAUUUCUGAAGAACAACUUUGCUGGAGGGAGUCCAGUUUCAUUCUCAGAAGCAAUUUUCAAGUGCAAGCUGCCAGAGCCUUAGCGAAGCCUCACCUGAUUCGUGUUUAAGUUGAGGAAAUGGGACUUUGAAGUCAGCCAUAGAAAGCACCAAUAUCAAUGUAUGGACAUUCGUGGUGGCUUUGGUCAUAGUAGGCUGAAAAGAAAUUCUGCAUAUAGCAUUGUCUGUAGGAGAGGCUGGUGAACACCAAAAUGCAUAAACUGACAAACAGUUCUUAAAAGGAAAUUAAGCAAAUCCAAUUUUUGGUCCACCUUUUUUUUCCCCUGAAAGCUAUAUGCAUUCAUAUGAAGACUAAUUGAAAUCAGCCCCUUCUGAUCAUAGUGUAAAAUAAAAUCAGACUCAAGUCCACACUUUUCCUUUACACAGAUUCCAAUCAAAGAUGGAGGCAACUUCCACUUUUAUCUUGUUAAUACCUCAAGGACAGUCAUAUAAGGAGCUUGUAUGUAUGUGGAGGAUCCAACUGACUAGCAAUACCUCCAGCUCUGCUCUCUCUUUUUCCGUUGGUUAUAUCAGUAAUUUCAAGAUGAUGAGAGAACGAAAAGAACAUCUGGAAAAACAGAGAUAACUAGGGAUAGAAGGUAAGCCCUCAAAGCAGCUCUUUCCAUAAUAACCUGCAUUAAAUUAUCCAACAAGAAGUGAUUUUUCUCACUAUCUAUCUCAUCCCCUCCCAUUUCUCUGUGAACUGCAACCACAUGCUCCAGCUCUGUGUUUCCCAUGAAGAACGAAACAAAUGAAUGAAUUCUUGACAGCCGACAGCAUGUGCU